GUGAAUCAUCAAAUCUUUGAACGCAAAUUGCACCCUCUGGUAUUCUGGAAAGUAUGCCUGUUUGAGCGUCAUUUCAAUAAAAAUCCGUGUUGUUGCUGUCUUUCGUGUUGACCCGCCGGAAUUCCGUAGUCUUACCUUCGGUUAAGUGACUUAAAAUGUUGCAUUAUUUUCGAACGUAUUUAACUUUCUUACGGACGUUUGAGCUAUAGACUACUUUAUUAGGUUCGUCCCUGCUCAGG
rnacentral:misc_RNA from 1 species